GUCCCCCACUACAACUUCCUGGAUGUUUUUUUUGAGCUGAUUCUGUUCCGCCAUUUCAGAAGUGGCUCAACACUUGAGACAUUUAAUGGAGGAUUCUUGGAGCGCCUGCUCGAGCUCAUCAGCAUGUGGGAUGUGGACAUGUGGGAGCCUGCAGCAGAGCUGUACUUCACAGUGCUUAUCGAUCACCUAACACAGCUUGCUGAAGUACUGUUCUCUCAGCCUCUGGAGCUGUACAGUGACCCAGCAGCCUUAGCCACCAC